UACGGAGGGAGCUAGCGUUGUUCGGAAUUACUGGGCGUAAAGCGCGCGUAGGCGGCUUUGUAAGUUAGAGGUGAAAGCCCGGGGCUCAACCCCGGAAUUGCCUUUAAGACUGCAUCGCUUGAAUCCGGGAGAGGUGAGCGGAAUUCCGAGUGUAGAGGUGAAAUUCGUAGAUAUUCGGAAGAACACCAGUGGCGAAGGCGGCUCACUGGACCGGCAUUGACGCUGAGGUGCGAAAGCGUGGGGAGCAAACAGG
rnacentral:rRNA from 1 species